UCAGGAUGAACGCUGGCGGCGUGCCUAACACAUGCAUGUCGAACGAGGUAAAUGAGAUGAAGUUUUCGGAUGGAUUCUUAUUUACCGAGUGGCGGACGGGUGAGUAACGCGUGGGUAACCUGCCUCAUACAGGGGGAUAACGAUUGGAAACGAUUGCUAAUACCGCAUAAGCGCACAGUACCACAUGGUGCAGUGUGAAAAACUCCGGUGGUAUGAGAUGGACCCGCGUCUGAUUAGCUAGUUGGUGAGGUAACGGCCCACCAAGGCAACGAUCAGUAGCCGACCUGAGAGGGUGACCGGCCACAUUGGGACUGAGACACGGCCCAGACUCCUACGGGAGGCAGCAGUGGGGGAUAUUGCACAAUGGAGGAAACUCUGAUGCAGCGACGCCGCGUGAGUGAAGAAGUAUUUCGGUAUGUAAAGCUCUAUCAGCAGGGAAGAAAAUGACGGUACCUGACUAAGAAGCCCCGGCUAACUACGUGCCAGCAGCCGCGGUAAUACGUAGGGGGCAAGCGUUAUCCGGAUUUACUGGGUGUAAAGGGAGCGUAGACGGCGAUGCAAGUCUGAAGUGAAAUACCCGGGCUCAACCUGGGAACUGCUUUGGAAACUGUAUGGCUAGAGUGCUGGAGAGGUAAGCGGAAUUCCUAGUGUAGCGGUGAAAUGCGUAGAUAUUAGGAAGAACACCAGUGGCGAAGGCGGCUUACUGGACAGUAACUGACGUUCAGGCUCGAAAGCGUGGGGAGCAAACAGGAUUAGAUGCCCUGGUAGUCCACGCCGUA
rnacentral:rRNA from 1 species